UACAGAGGUCCCAAGCGUUGUUCGGAUUCAUUGGGCGUAAAGGGUGCGUAGGUGGUGCCGUAAGUUGGGUGUGAAAUCUCGGGGCUUAACCUUGAAACUGCAUUCAAUACUGCGGUGCUCGAGUACUGGAGAGGAGACUGGAAUUCACGGUGUAGCAGUGAAAUGCGUAGAUAUCGAGAGGAACACCAGUGGCGAAGGCGAGUCCCUGGACAACUCCUGACACUGAGGCACGAAAGCUAGGGGAGCAAACAGG
rnacentral:rRNA from 1 species